rnacentral:rRNA from 1 species
UAGGGAAUCUUCGGCAAUGGGGGCAACCCUGACCGAGCAACGCCGCGUGAGUGAAGAAGGUUUUCGGAUCGUAAAGCUCUGUUGUAAGUCAAGAACGGGUGUGAGAGUGGAAAGUUCACACUGUGACGGUAGCUUACCAGAAAGGGACGGCUAACUACGUGCCAGCAGCCGCGGUAAUACGUAGGUCCCGAGCGUUGUCCGGAUUUAUUGGGCGUAAAGCGAGCGCAGGCGGUUUGAUAAGUCUGAAGUUAAAGGCUGUGGCUCAACCAUAGUUCGCUUUGGAAACUGUCAAACUUGAGUGCAGAAGGG